rnacentral:lncRNA from 1 species
AGAGGCUGUCGGACUCUGACUGCGCGGAGACCGCUGGACUCUGGUCGCGGCCUUAGUCCGCUGAUCCUCGCUUGGGUGCCCGCCCUUAGCGGCCCGGCGUUGAAUUCCGGGAAGUGGGAGCUUCAGGCUCGCUCCGUGCGGAUCAUGUUCCUGAGAGAAACCCUCCUUUCCACAACAAACCUCCUACAUGCGCACCUCAGAAUCUCAGUCUAUUUCCUGGGAUCCCAACUUGCAGCUGCUUACAAAUAUGUGUGUGUGGAAAUGGAAGGAGAAAAAAGAAGAAGUUUGAAUGAGUUGAUUAAUUUUGCCUAUCACAUGUGGCAUAAUCAUGGGAGAAAGGCCAGGAAAACAAGGCUUGGAUAUUAAAUUCAUUUUCUUAUAUAAUACUACUGGUUCUAUUUUUUCUAUAGUCCUUACAUUGGAUUAUCAUUUAAUUACCUCUGAAUGUUAGACUACCUCAUCCUUCCAUUCUUUACCCACUUUUCUCUCUAUAAUUGCAUAAAGAGGCCAGAUGUGGUGGUGUACAUCUGUAAUCCCAGCGCUUUGGGAGGCUGACAUGGGAGGAUCAGUUGAGGCCAGGAGUCUGAGACAAGCCUGGGCAAUAUAGCGAGAUCCAGUCUCUUAAAAAAAAAUUAUAAACCAUCUUUUCUAUUCAGGUAAGUCCUAUGAAUUUAAUUAGCACCUAUACACACGUGGAUUCCUAAAUCUUUAGCUCCAAUUCUAACCAUUUUCUGAGGUUUAGAUAAGAAUUUUCUAAGCCUAUUUGACCUCUCAACUUGAAUUUUUGACAGACACUUCAAAUUUAUUGUGUCCAAAACUAAACUCAUUACCAUCUAAACCACUUCCCCAUAUAGUCUCUAUGUUUUAAUACAGUCACUAUCUGCCCAGUUCCCCUAAAGUAAAUGAUCUAACCAUUGUUAAUCUUCCCAUAUGUUAUACUGAUUGAUCACCAAAUCUUGAAAAUUCUAAUCAGAAAUGUAAAAUCUAUUUUUUCUACUGCUUUACUUAAGUCUUGUCAUUUUAUUUUCUUUUUUGGUCUGAAAGGCUACCUAGAUAUUCAAUUUUAGUUCUUUAACCAUCCUCCCAGUUUUUUGGUGUAACUCACCACAUACCACCUACCUUUACAGUCUGUAAAAGAAACUGUAUCCAGCGGUAUUUGUGAAAACCAAUUUGGGCCCCACUUCCCUGUUUCUGAUCCAUUACAUAUCCUGAGUUCUUAUUCUGUCUCUUUUACUUCGAAUUGGCAUUUAUGUGUGUGUUUGGGCUCUUGUAUCCAUCCUAUCUAUCCUGUAGGAUACAGACUUGGCUGGCUGUACUCUGGACCCCUGCAGGUGAUGUUAUCAUUCUCAUACUCUGAGCUGAAGCCUCUGGGUACUAAGGAUGUAGCAGUCAACAAAAAUUACUAUUCUCAUAGAGUUUACAUUCUAGUGGGAAAAGUGCAUCUGUUGAAGCUCAGAGAUGAGGGAGGGGAAUAACCACAAUAUUUACACUUUCUCACCUGGCUGACCUAGUUUGUUAAAGAGGGAGAGAGACUGUUUGUCCAGUAGAUUGUACCAGCAUCUCCUCCCAUAGUUGUCCAAGGGUUCUGUAAGCCAUUGCUACUUCACCCUCUUCAAACAUAUCUUGGGAUCAAUUGUAAAAAACAAAAACAAAAACAGCCUUCCUUGCUUAAGCAACUGCAAAUUCAUAUGAAAGCCUGAGACUCAUAAUUGAUAUGUAUAGUAGGGUGAUAUUUUACGAUAUUAUAAGGAUACAAUGUAAUCUUCACAGCUUUCCUUUUCCUUGGUUUGAGGCUUAUUACACAAAAGGAGCCAGAGGAUUAUUACACAAAGGAAGCUACACCAGAAAGGAUGCUGAUUAGCUUUGAGACUCAAAGCUGACUUUCCUGACCUCUCUAAGAAGAGAAUUAUCUUGCAAACCUGGAGAAUGAAAGGGUUUCCCAAACUCCUUUUGCUGGCAUUAACACAUCAAAGGCUAGGCCUGAUAGCUAUUAGGCUCUCACAUCACCACUGCCCACAAUAGGAAACAUCAUAUUGUGACCCAGUUCACAUGUACCUAGACCGAAUAUUAUACGUACAUGUGAACUGGAUCAUAAUAUACAUACACACACACAUAUGCAUUAUCACUGAAACAAAAAUUUAACAUGCAUUUUGAUAUAUUCUAUCCACUACAAUUUUAUUUCUUUUUAAUACACUAUUCACAGCACACUGAACUGUGAUGUGCAUUAAAAAAAUACCACCUAGGAUUUUUCAAAAGGGAGAAUUCAGUGAGACAGAAAAAGAAGUUAAUUCUGCUUCUGCUGGGGGGAGGGUUGGGGAUGGGCAGGGGUGGGGGCCGUGCUUAGGGAAAGGAUCUGAAGAAUCAGAAUGUUCAAAUUCUUGGUGUUGGGUAGGUUUUGAUCAGAGGGAAAAUAUCUUACAGUGAAGAAUAGAAUUAUUUGAUGUCGCUUAUUAAAAGCUGAAAGUUUGAAGUCACUGCAUUCAGGGGGAACUGUAAGGUCACCAAGACAUAGUAAAAAAAUAGAUAAGGAUGAGGCAACUGCAGAAUGUUUACAUUCUUACAGGGAUAAGCACAGGAUAAGCUAAAACCACAGCUGGUGUUUGACCAAAGAAGAACUGGCUAUAACUGACAUUGCUCUGUGUGGGUCCCUCCUGAUGACCUGGGCAGUGAAAUUCCUCCUUAUGAUAAUGAUAUUAUAAAAAGAAAGAAGUAAGAAAAUGAAGUAAUUGGUAACCAGUGGUGGAGCAACCUGUGGUCUAGUUACUGUCACCUUGAGGGAAAGAGUGGGGAGCACUUGUGUUUGUGGUGGGUUGGGUGGUGGUGGCUGCAGGUGGAAAGUUGUGCAAGAAAGAUGAGACCAUGAAAAUGAUAAACAUGAGGUAGGCAUAAAAGUGUACAGACUUGUAGGCCGGGCGCACUGGCUCACGCCUGUAAUCCCAGCACUUUGGGAGGCCAAGGCGGGUGGAUCACCUGGUCGGGAGUUCGAGACCAACCUGACCAACAUGGUGAAACCCUGUCUCUACUAAAAAUACAAAAAAUUAGCCUGGUGUGGUGGCGCAUGCCUGUAAUCCCAGCUACUCGGGAGGCUGAGGCAGGAGACUCACUUGAACCCAGGAGGUGGAGGUUGUGGUGAGCUGAGAUGGCGCCAUUGCACUCCAGCCUGGGCAACAAGAGUGAAAACUCCAUCUCAAAAAAAAAAUGUACAGACUUGCAUACUUAGAGAAAAUGCCUAGGUGCUGUAGACAUGUUAUAAUUAACCGACAAGGUUGUUGUGUUCAAUAAAGAUAAUAGAAUUUUGUGUCUCCACAUUGUCUCAUCAGUUUCCCCCAUCCUACCUUUGAAGCAACAAGUAGAUUAAGCUGAGGUUUUUCCAGGCUGGGUUAAAUUUAGAUUUUUUUCUUCCUUGCCUCCCAAAAGGGGAGGAACUAAAAAGGAAGAUGAGAUUGUUGACUGCUAUAUCCUUAGUACCCAGAGGGGACUAAGAGGUUAUAGUAAAUGAAAAGACCUCAUUGUCAUUGUACAUUCAAGUUUAGUGAGUAAAUGUGUGACCCCAUCCAUAUGGUCUUUGCUGAAAUGUCACCUUUCAGCAGGCCUUCCCUAACCACACUAUAAUUUACCCCAAGCACUCCUGUUUCUCCUGUUCUGCUUUACACUUCUACAUAGCAUUUAUCACAAACAACAGUGUGUAUGUAUGAAUAAUAUAAUGAAUCUCAUAUGUUCCCAUCACCAAGCUUCAAUAAUUAUUAAUAUUUUACCCAUCAUUUAAUCUAUACCCUCAUCAUUUUGUUUUGCUUUGUUUGGGCUUUUUUCUGAAAUGUUUUAAAGUGAAUACCAGACAUGACAUUUCCCUUCAUACUGUUUUACUUAUUUAAUGUCUGUCUUCUCCUACUAGAAUAUGUGCUCAACAAGGGCAGGAAUUUUUAUCUACUGUUCACAGAAACAGUCCCAGCAUCUUUUUUUCUUUUUCUUUUUAAAUUCAUUCAAGUUUGAGAAGUUAUUCUUAUUCCGAGCAUCUUUUUUUUUUGUUUUUUUUUUGUUUUUUUUUUAAGACAAAGACUCACUCUGUUACUCAGGCUAGAUUGCAGUAGCAUGAUCACAGCUCACUGCAGCCUCAGCCUUCCCAGGCUCAUGUGAUCCUCACACUUCAGCCCCCUCAGAAGCUGAAAUUGCAACUGCACGCCACCACACCCAGCUAAUUUUGUAUUUUUUGUAGAGAUGGGAUUUCGCAUGUUGCCCAAGCUGGUCUCGAGCUCCUGGGUUCAAGCAAUCUGCCCACCUCAGCCUCACAAAGUGCUGGGAUUAUAGGCAUGAGCCAUCACUCCAGCCCCAGCACCUUAAAAAGGUUCCUGGCACAUAAUAAGUACACAGUAAAUAUUUUUGAGUGCAUAAAUAUGGAAUCCAAAAAGUAACAUUUUCAGUCUCUUGCUAGUUAGGCAUUAUCUCAGUCAGUUCAGGGUGCUAUAAUGGAAUAUCAUAGAUUGGGUGGCUUAAACAACAGAAUAGUUUGUUUUUAGUGUAUAGAAAUGCAACUAAUUUUUCAUAUGUUGGUUUUGUAUCCUGCAACUCUCUGGAUUUAUUAGUUCGAAGAGUUUUUUUAUGGCAUUUUUAAAGGAUUUUCUAUACAUAAGAUGUUGCUCACAAAGAGGGACAACUUUACUUCUUCCUUUUCGAUGUGGAUAUUUCUUAUUUCUUUUUCUUGCCACGUUGCUCUGGCUAGGACUUCUAGUACUUUGUUGAAUUGAAGUGGUGAAAGUGGGCAUAUUUGCCUUGUUCCUGAUCUUAGAGAAAAAGCUUUCAGUUUUCCACUGAUGAAUAUGAUGUUAGCUGUUGGCUUUUCAUAUAUAUACUUUAUUAUGUUGAGGUACUUCACUUCUCUUCCCUUUUUAAAAUUUUUUAAAAAUCCCAAAUUGUAGUAGAGAGAGUCUGUGGGUUUUUUUUUUUUAAUCACAGAAGGAUGUUGAAUCUCAUAAAAUGCUUUUUUGGCAUCUAUUGAAAUGAUCAUAUGGAUUUUAUCUGUUGAUGUGGCAAAUCACAUUGUUUAAUUAUUUUGUAUCUGAAAAGAAAAUUAGGAAAACAAUCCCAUUUACAACAGCACCAAAAAUAAUAAAAUACUUAGGAAUAAACUUAAUUAAGGAGGUAAAAGACAUACACUGAAAACUAUAAAACAUUGAUGAAAUAAAGAAGACAUACAUAAAUGGAAUGAUACUGUAUUCAUGGACUGGAAGGUUUAAAAUUGUUAAAAUAUUCAUACUAUACAAAACAAUUCAGAUUUAAUGCAAUCCCUGUCAAAAUCCCAAUGGCAUUUUUUUUUUACAGAAAUAGAAAAAAAAUUCUAAAAUUCAUGUGGAACCACAAAAGACCACGAAUAGCCAAAUCAAUCUUGGAAAAGAACAAAGCUGGAAGCAUCCCACAUCCUGACUUCAAAAUAUAUUACAAAACUACAGUAAUCAAAACAUAUAUACAAAAACACAUAUACAAAAAUACAUAUACAAAAAUCAGCUCAAAAUAAAUUAAAGAUUUAAAUGUAAGGCCUGAAACAGUAAAACUCCUAGAAGAAAACUUAGGGGAAAACCUUCAUGACAUUGAUCGGCAAUGAUUUUGUAUAUACAACACCAAAAAGACAGGCAGCAAAAACAAAAAUAAGUGGGACUACAUCAAGGUACAUAAACCUGCACAGCAAGGGAAACAAUCAACAAAGUGAAAAAGCAACUUACACAAUAGAAGAAGAUAUUUGCAAACCACAUUCUGAUAAAGGUUAAUCUCCAAAAUAUACAGUGAUUUCCUACAACUCAAUAGUAAGAAAAUGGAUAACCAGAUUUUAAAAAAUGGUCUAAGGACUUGAACAGACAUUUUUCCAAAGAAGACAUGCAAAUGGCCAACAGAUAUGUGAAAAACAAAUGCUCAAUGUCAUAAAUCAGGGACAUGCAAUUUAAAACGACAAUGAGAUACCACCUCACACCUGUCAGGAUGGUUACUAUCAAAGGAAACAAAAAACAAGGGUUGGCAAGAAUGUGGAGAAACUGGAACCCUUGUUAGUGGGAAUGUAAAAUGGUGCAGUUGCAGUGGAAAACAAUAGAGAGCUUCCUCAAAAAAUUUAAAAAAUGGGACUACUGUGUGAUUCUGCAAUCCCACUUCUGACUGUAUAUCCAAAACAAUUGAAAUCAGGAUCUCAAAGAUGUUAGCACUCCUGUGUUCAUUACAGCACUAUUUCACCAUAACCAAGAUGAGGCUAUAACCUAAAUGUUCAUGGAAAGAUGAAUGGAUUUUUAAAGUGUGGUACAUACAAAUGGUAAAAUAUUAUUCAGCCCUAAAAAAGAAGGGAAUUCUACAAUAUGCAACCACUGGAUGAACCUUGAGGACAUUACAUUAAGCAAAGCAAGCCAGUCACAGAAGGACAAAUACUGCAUGAUUUCACUUAUUUGAGGUAUCUAAAAUAGUCAAAUCUGGAAAUUCAAGGAAGGAAUGGUAGUUUCCAGGAGUGGAGGAAGGAGAAAUGGGGUAUUAUUAAUCAAUAGGCAUGAAGUUUCAUUUAAGCAAGAUGAGCAAGUUGUAUAGAUCUGCUGUACAACAUUGUGCCUGUAAUCAAAAACACUGUUAUUGUACACUUAAACAUUUGUUAAAAAGGUAGAUCUCAUGGUAAGUGUUCUUACAACAAUGAAAUAAAAUUAAAAAAAAAGAAAAACUGCCAAGUCUAACACUGCUAUCCUACCAGUGAGCACUUUUUUCCUCAAACUUGCAGCAGCCACUGCUCAAAGUUCUCCAUCUCAGUAUCCAUUUGUCAGUAACCCACCAUCAUAGGCCAAUUACUGCACUGGGUUCUAGAUCAUUUACACUUCUACGUACUAUACAGGCCCAAGGCAUAAUUCACUAGAAUAGAAUUUGCAGAAUGUGUUGCUCUACCCAUUCAGCUAAUCCCAGCAGUCAUUACCGUUACAGCUUCCAUCCCUAAAUCCCCACUUCCCUGCCCCUCUAAGAACCAGCCUCUGAUUGAUAGUGGGAUAAGCUGCUUAAGAAAACCUACAGGAUCCACUCUGCUCUUGGACAUCUAAUGUUUUAGCAUAGUCAGCACAUUGUCAUUCUUAUGGUAAAUGCACCAGAUUUUUGCUUAGGGCACUGUCUUUCUUUGGUUACCAUUCCACAUCGUUAGGUUGGGACUGAUCCCUCCACCUUUAAUCCAGACGAAAUUAUGUAAGCCAGUCAGAGAAUCUCAUUAGCCUUGCCACAGUGCUUGGGUCAUAGAUAAAUGUAUAACAGGAAACAGGCAAAUCAAAGGCAUGAAACCCAUUUCUGAGCUGUAUGUUGGAAUUGUUGGGGGCAGAAUAGCUCUCUUCACAACAGGUUUAAACCUAAAAAAUUUUGAGCUGCUGGUUGCACUUUUGCUAUCAUGUGUGGAGAGCCUGAGGUGAGCCUAUCUGAGACUGAAGAUAAUGCUUAGGAAAGGGAACCAAGAAAUGACUAGUUAAUAUCAAUUGAGCAAUUACUAUGUGUUCAUCACAAUUGAUCAUUUAAUUCUACAGUAACUCUUAGAAACAGGGUCCACAUUGAUCAUCCACAAGCUGGAGAUGAGGUCAAUAAGAAUAAAUGUCUUGCCCAAAGUUUUACAGCUAAUGGCAAAGCUGAGAUUUGUACCUAGGCAGUCUAGAUCUAGAACCCAUGUUCAGUACCGCUAUGCUACACUGUGUCAAUGUAUGCUAAUAUAUUGACUAAUAAAUACACACUUCAGAAACAGCUAGAGAGAGAGUAAGAGCCUGAGAGAGACAAUGAGUCCUGGUUAUUUGUCUUUGAGUGCCUGGAUCUAAUCAUACCUGAAAUCAUAAACUUUUUUUUUUUUUUGAAACGGAAUCUUGCACUGUCACCCAGGCUGGAGGGCAGUGGCACGAUCUCAGCUCACUGCACCCUCCGCCUCCCGGGUUCAAGCGAUUCUCCUGCCUCAGUCUCCUGAGUAGCUGGUAUUACAGGGGCCUGCCACCACACCCAGCUAAUUUUUUGUAUUUUUAGUAGGGACGGGUUUCACCAUGUUGGCCAGACUGGUCUCAAACCCCUGACCUCGUGAUUCACCCGCCUCAGCCUCCCAAAGUGCUGGGAAUAUAAUCGUGAGCCACCAUGCCCGGCCUAAACUUUUUUUUUUUAAAUUAAAUAAGCAAAUUCCCCUUUCCGCUUUUUUUCAGAAGCCAGUUUGACUGUUAAAACUGAUAAAACUGAUAAAACUCCUAAUAUAUCCUUCAAUAUGCAAGGAGUGAUACACAGAAACCUGUAUCAAACGUGAAAGCUUACAGAUCACACUGAAACCACUGGAUGGCUCUACAGACUUUGCAAACAUUUACGCUUGCAUCUAGGAGAAAUUUGAGGACUAUUUCAUGAGAUUCUUUGAGGUAAUUCAUUGAAGUAACCAACCCUUCAGUAUUCUCCCUGUAUUUACCUCUGCCCACUUAUGCUCUCUUUCAUUUCUUCAUGCCAAGCCUGACUGGCAUACACCUUGCUCUACAUCUAGGGUCUACAGCUUCAGGAAAAAUCAGAGUACAUAGUGAAAGCAGUGUCCUGGUGACCUGGCAUGCUGCAACCCAGGCUCCCAUCUCAAAAUUGCCCAUAAAUGUAUCUGUUUUCCAUGGACCUUCCCCAGAAAAGUUACACUGAGCCUUGUCUAGUAGGGGAGCCUUGCGUCAGAUAUAGUGUCCAUCUCAAAUUUGUUGCUUUAAGUCAUCCUAACACAUCCACGUGGGGAACCUAAAGGAGCAUGACCUGACCCUCCUCAUUUGUUCAUUUUCUGUUCCUGCUUUCGUCCUGUCCUUAAGUGAUUUCCAAUUGGAGACGCUUCUUAUUUAACCUACCAUUUCUGUAGGCAAAUAUUUCUUAAUCAGUAUUACAGACAACACAAUAAACAAAAAGAUUAGCAAAUAUUAACAAAGUGAUAAUAUUAAAAUUAAGAAUUUCUGUUUCUUGAAAGAUACAAUUGAGAGACUGGAAAGGCAAGAUACGAAAAAAACGUUUGCAGUGCGUACAGCAAAGAGACCCUACAAAUUAAUAAGAAAAGUACCUAGAAAAAUAGAUAAGAAAUUUGAUUGGCCAGGUGUGGUCAAUCCUAGCACUUUGGGAGGCUGAGGCAGGCAGAUCGCUUGAGCCCAGGAGUUUGAGACCAGCCUGGGCAACAAGAUAAAACCCCGUCUCUACAAAAAAACAGAAAAAUCAGCUGAGUGUGGUGGCAGGCACCUGUAACCCCAGCUACUUGGGAGGUGGAGGAGGGAGGAUCACCUGAGACCAGGGAGCUGCGGCUAUGGAGAGCUGUGAUCAUGCCACUGUAUUCCAACCUGAGUGACAGAGUGAGACCCUGUCUCAAAAAAAAAAAAAAAAAAAAGUUAAAAAAAAAAUCCCAAAACUUAAUUUGGUACUCCAUAUAAUAGGAUACACAAUUGAUCAAUCAAUAUAUGAAAAGGUACGUAGCAUCAUUAGUCAAAAGGGAAUUGAAAUUAGAACUAUAAGGAGUUAACAUUCCCUACCCAGUGAUCAGAAUGGUUAAGAAUAUCAAUACUAAGAGUUAUGUGGGCCACAUGGGGUGGCUCAUGCCUGUAAUCCCAAUACUUUGGAAGACUGAGGCAGGAGGAUCCUUUGAGGCCAGGAGUUCAAGACCAGCAUGGGCAACAUAGCAAGACACUGUCUCUACAUAAAAAUUAAAACAUAAUUUUUAAAAACUUAACCAGGCAUAGUGGCAUGUACCUGGAGUCCUAGCUACUCAGGAGGCAGAGGUAGGAGGAUUCCUUGGCCCAGAAAUUCAAGGUUACAGUGAGCUAUGAUCACACCACUGUACUCCAGCCUGAGAGACCCUACCUCUAUUGAAAAAGAUAAAAAGUUGAUUUGGGUAAUUUGUUGAUGAUCUGAAACUCUCACACACUUUUGGUAGGACUAUAAAUUGGUACAACUUUGCAAAAACAGUAUUAAUCUGCUAAAAUUUUAAUCUCCUAAAAUCUUAGGGAUACGCCCACCAGGAAUGCAAACAUGCAUAUCAAAGCUACACUGGAAGUUCUUAACAGUAUUAUUUAUCCUAGCUAUAAAUUGCAAGCAACCCCAAUGGAGUUAGAAUGGAUAAAUAAUAUGUGACAUAUUCAUGGAGCAAAAUACCAUUCAGCAGUAAAAGUGAAGACACUAUAGCUAUGUACACAAUGUGAAUGCGUCCCACAAACAUACCGGACACCAAAUAAUAUAAAUGCAUGAUUCUAUUAAUGUAUACUCAGAAAUGAAAUUUUAGAAGUUAGAAUAUUGGUUACCUUUGAGGAAAAGAAAAGGGAUAGUUCACCUUGCUCCAGAAUACCCUGGUAACAUACAUACUACCAUGGCUGUCUGGUGGGUAAUUCUACCCUCUGCCCCAAGUCCCAUGUCCCACUCCAGACCACAAGCAGGUUCCCCAGUCUUUCUACCCGAUUCACCAAUGGAAGGGAUGGUGGAACUGUGUUCUAACAAUGGUCAACAACUCAGAUUUUCCUAAACGUUGCAUAUACAUGCAUAACUAUUUGUUCAUACUGUUCCCUCUGCCUAGCAUGGAAUUCCCUCUUCUCUCUCAGCAGAGAAACUUAAUACUCCCAAUUCAAAACGCAGAUGGCACCACGCGAGGUCAGAGAAAGAGGCAAGAAGUUUUAGUCAACCUGUCUUUGAUUAUUGGCUUGCCAUAUGCAGUCUACGUGUACUUGAUCAUCGCUUAACUUUUUAGCCUGUUUCUCAUGUAUGAAACGAGAAUAAUGAUAUCCAGCUCAUGGGUUGUUUAAAGGAAUACAUGACAUGAUAAGGUAAGAGCUUAUUACAUAUUAUUUUUCUUUGGUUUCCUUUUUCCCUUGCAGUAUCACUUGCUUUCAGCUAUGUACUGGCACCACUCAGAAUAAUUUUAGAGUCAUUAAUUUUAUUUAUUUAUUUUUCUCUUUUAUUUCUUUUAACUUUAUUUUUUUUAAUUUUAAAGACAUGGUCUUGCUUUGUUGCCCAGGCUGGUCUCAAACUCCUGGGCUCAGGUGAUCCUUCUGCCUCAGCCUCCCAAAAUGCUGGAAUUACAGGCAUGAGCCACAGCACAUGGAUCCAAGUCAUUAAUUUUGUUUUAUUUAAUGUAAUUUAUUUAUUUGAGACAGGGUCUCACUCUGUUGCCCAGGCUGGAGUGCAGUGGUACGGUCUUGGCUCACUGCAACCUCCCUCCACCUCCCGGGUUCAAGCAAUUCUUCUGCGUCAGCCUCCCGAGUAGCUGAGAUUACAGGCAUGGGCCACCAUGCCCAGCUAAUUGUUGUAUUUUUAGUAGAGAUGGGGUUUUACCAUGUCAGUCUGGCUGGUCUUGAACUCCUGACCUCAAGUGAUCCACCUGGCUCAGCUUCCCAAAGUGCUGGGAUUACAGGCAUGAGCCACCACCCCUGGCCCUAAGUCAUUAAUUUUAAAAAAUGUUUAUUUAGGAUGAGCGUACUUGGUAGGAGCCAGGGUUAGAAAAAGAGCAAGAUAUGAUUCACAAGAAAUUAUUACUUUGGCCAGGAACAGCAAGUUAGUGAAU